AAUGGGCAGGAAAAAAACUACUUUUGAAGGCUAUUUUAUUCAAAUACAAGUUUUAGGAAAGUUGUUAGAGAAAAAUGGAAGAAAAAAUAUCACCCCCGUCCCAACUUUCCAUUCUGAGUAGUUACUUUCAAAGACACAACUUGAUGUAGUUCAGCAUCAUUUCCGAAAUGUAAUUCCAUAGAAUGUCUACUGAUCAUAUCUGGGAUAAGAGCAUUUUUUUAAAAAUAAUUUUUACUUUUUACAUUAGAGCUUGUUUAUAGUGUUCUGUCAAUUUUAUACUGUACAGCAAGGUGAGCCAGUCACAAAUAUACAUGUGUACAUUCUUUUUCUCACAUUAUCAUGCUCCAUCAUAAAUGACUAAAUAGUUUCCAGUGCUAUACAGCAGGAUCUCAUUGCUUAUCCAUUCCAAAGGCAAUAGUUUGCAUCUAUUAACUCCAAAUUCCCAGUCUCUCCCACUCCCUCCUCCUCCCCCUUGGCAACCACAAGUCAAGGACAGUUGUUUUUUUUCUUUGUUUGUUUUUAAUGAUUCUCUAAUGUCUCCCAAUACAGAGCCACAUUAACUGAAAUGUAUUCCAUUUUGGAACCAUUUUUAUGGACUUUUGUGGGAAAAGAGAGCUAAGCUGGGUUCCUUUGGGAAAGGUGGUCUUGGUCUUUGUGGAAUAUAGGAUUUGGAGUGGUAUCUUAUAGACUUGAGUCCUGGCUCUGUCCUGCACUCAAGUGUAAAAUUGGACAAAUCAUUUAACUGCUCAGAACCCUGGGUUCUGAUCUAUAAAAUGGAAAUGAAUCACAUCCUGACUUACAACAGAUACUUUUAAAUUAGAGGCUACCUUACAUACUUUAGAGAACAGGAUUCACAGAUACUCUGCACCUCUAUCCUGCCCCACAUAGCUGCAUAUUAACAUUCUAACUUCUAUUUAUCCAGAAAUUAGUGAAAGGGGAUUUACAGAUAUGAAGGAUGGAAGAGGAAGAAAAGGAGGAAUAGAACAGAGCAACCAGGCUAGUGUGUCCAGGGAAUGGUCAACCAGUAGUACAGGCCUUGUGGGCUGCACACUUACCUUUACAAUUAAAAUCAUCAGGGAAUUAUUAGAACCAGAUAAAAAAGAUCAAAUACUGUAAAUUUGUAAAGCUUUUUAUGUUGCUGUUUGUGAGGGUAUGGUGGGUAGAGAAGAUGGGAGAGAAUCCUCCUGCCAUGUAACUGUUAUCACUGUAAGACAGUGUUUUCUAAGCUGUCUUGGGUUAGGGACUUUUGGAGUCUCUGAUGAGAAGGAUGGACUCUAGAAAAAUUCCCAUGUAUAUCUUCAACUCCAAUUUUACCUACAAAUCACCUGAAACCUGUCUAGAGAGGCGGUGAUCCAUGGACAUCAGGGUAAGAGACCUGGCCGUAAGGCAGGAAUUGAGCUUUCUCUCUUUAUGCAGCACUCUAUUUUCUGUUUUGUUUUAAUUUUCAAUGUGAUUGUUCCCCUGGGUCAUAAGCAGGCACAAAAGGUCUGGCGCUAUGCUAAGAACUUCCUCAACCCUCAACAGUAAUCCUACUGGGUAGUAGAGUUUGUGGUUGUUCUUUAUGUAACUUGACUAAUGACCAAGUCAAAUGUUUUGAUUGUCCCUGGAUGAGUUUGGGGAGCCUAAUAUAGCUUCUAACAGGAGACAAUGAACUACUCGAUACCUUUCACCACAGAUUAUAAUGUAUCCUUGAUAAGGCUGCCCUUUUCUGUCAAGUAUAGCCUUUAGCACCACCUGGGAGAGGUCCAAAUGGCAUAGAGGAGGAAAGAUCACUCAGGCUACUGGAACAUCUUGGGUACCUUAUAGUAUGUCAGAUCACUAUGAAAUUCAAGGCAUGUGGGUGUAUAUGUACCUUUAAAAAUACAAGGAAUUUUGCUAUUCAAAUAUUCAAAUUGGCAGAGCAACAAAAAUUACCUAAGUUUUAUUGAGAUCAGAAACAGUUCUCAAAGAUUUGCUUUUCUAGUCAUUAGAAUUUCCAUUCCUGACCUAGAAAAGAGAUGCAUAUGUCUAUAUUUAUUCUGGUAACUCUUACAAUACCAGAUGUUUAAUUUUGAUAACACCUGUAAUCAAUUCCCAGGGAGCAAGCUGUUUCCAGAACAUCAAAAAAGGCACACAUAUUCUUUAAAUAAGCUAAGUGUAUAAAUGGCUGAAACGCUAAAAUUGAGGGAUUCUGUGUUUGAGUAAUGUGGAUAUUGGAAGCAACUUUACAGAAGUGUAUAUAAUUGGAAAAUAAGGUUUAUUGGGGAUAACAUCGAAGUAUUUAUCAGUAAAUUUUCUGAGAUGCUAAGGUGAAAGACCCUGAAGAAGUACAAAGAAUCAUCAUUAUCAUCAUCAUCAUUAAUAGUUAGGCUAGUACUCUAAUGAUUUUCUCGAAGUUGCUUUCUUGGUAUUACAUGAGUUUACUUUUGGGAUGUGAUUGCAAUUAGGGUGUAGAAACUGCUGAUUUGAGUUAACUCUGGGAACAAAAAGAAAGCAAAGCAACCAAGCAUCACCAAACCAAAAAACUCUUUUAAGAUGAGCAAAUUUCCCAUGCCUCAGUUUUUCAUAUUUAUUUCCAAAUCUACUCUGUCAUAUAAAUUAACAUCCCAGAAUGGAAGGUUGGUUAUCAGAGAAAAAACAGAAAUGAUGCUAGAUCUCAUAAUGCAAGGUAACUGCAGUAUUUAUGGAUAAUGACCACAGCUCAGGCUGCAUUAAAUUUGAAUUUCCGCAGAUUGUGUCAAAAGAAAUGACAUUAGCUUGUCCAAAGUCAGAAAACCCAUGACUCGGAAAUUGGUUCUUUGGAAUAGGUCCAUAUGGUGAGUUAAUGUGAUUUGGCACUAUCUGGGUGGUGUUCUGGAAAACAAACUUGCUUUUUCUGCAAAGAAAAACCAGAUUCCAAACACUCACAGGGUUCUUAUACUACACAUGGAUAUUUUGCUCUACUUUCAAGUUUUUGUGGACGUAGCCAUUUUGAAUGAUGACAUGUUCAGAUAAAGUGAUAGUUUUCCUGAAAGACUGAUUACAUCUUCAAGUGAAAAAGCCAACUUG
rnacentral:lncRNA from 1 species